UGCUUCUUGCAGAUAAUAAGAAGUAAUUCCUGCCCAGUGAUAACAUUCAACGGCCGCGGUAUCCUAACCGUGCAAAGGUAGCAUAAUCACUUGCCCAUUAAUUGUGGGCUAGAAUGAACGGACCAACGAAAUAAAAACUGUCUCUAUAAGCCCCGUAAAAAUUAAUCUCUAACUGAAGAGUGUUAGAUUAAAUCGAAGGACAAGAAGACCCUAUAGAGCUUCAUUUUAAUAAAGGCCUAAACUUUAGUAAAAUUCGGUUGGGGCGACCAGGGAAAACUAAUCAUCCCUCAUCAGAAGAUAAAUAAAUCUAAAUACUGACCCUUAAUAAAGAUCACAAGAACAAGCUACCUUAGGGAUAACAGGCUAAUCCUAUUAAAGAGUCCUUAUCAAUAAUAGGGGUUGGCACCUCGAUGUUGGCUUAGGGAAUCUAUGUGGCGCAAAAGUCACAUAAAGAUGGUUUGUUCAACCAAUAAUACCCU
rnacentral:rRNA from 1 species